rnacentral:ribozyme from 1 species
AUAGUAUUUAUUUUUAUUUUUGCUCCUGCUCUUUUUCUUGUACUUGUUCCUUUUCCUUCUCCACUGAUUCCGGAGCUCCUAUGAAUUUCAAGCAGAAAUGACAAGCUUGAUGGUGUAUAAGAAUGAUAGGCAUAACAAAAGACA